GGGGGCAUUUGGGGUCAGCUGUUGUUGUUGAGUCGAGCUUUGUGUGGCUGGAAGGUUAGGUAUGAUUAUUUGCUGGAUGGCGAGAGGCUGUCCAUGAACGAUGUUAAGUGCUGCUUCUAAGGUAAGUUCGCCUCUGCUAUAUUUUCGUUUGUAAUGAUUUAUUAAUAUUUCGAACAAACUACUAGGAGGUGCUUUGUUUUCGGUUUUUUGUUUUUCAGAGAUGGCUAGCUGCUCUGCUUUCCUCUUUGAGGCUUCAUCGUGUUCAAAUUGCAGUAGUGAUGGAAGAGCAAAACUGUGCGAGAGGUUGAGCUGCACGCUCGGACUAGCAUACCGAGGUUGGAGAGGAAUGCAACAGGAUUGCAAUUGUUGUAAAUAUCUGGGUUUUGUCAGCCGACAGGGUACAUACGGAUUUGUGAGGAGUAGACGGCAGUACGGAUUUGGAUGGUGCAAGGUAGACGCGAAGAAUCGGUGGCUUGCAGUAAGAAAUGUGUCUUCGAUUGUACUGAAGUUAGAUUGGAUUCGUUUGAUCUGUACGUCGGAUACUAAGGCGCCCCAUAUUGGUAAGGCAUAUAGCCAUUGAGGGAAAAUUAGCUGCUUUAUUAUAACGACCUUACAGUUUUGGUUUAAGGAGCUUUGAGGGUCUAUUAGCCAGGAUAGUUUGUUGUAGGCAGAUUUCAGUUUGAUGGUGAGUUUAGUGACGUGUUGAAUUAGUGUUAGUUUGUUAUCUAGAUUCACACCCAGGUAUCUGUGUCCUUUGUUGUUGGAUAUGUUGUGUUCGUUUAUUUUUAGUGUAGUGCACGUUAAGUGAGGGGGAGCUUUGUUAAGGGUAUAUAGGACGUGUGCUGUCU